GCGGCUGGGGUGUGGUUCCUGUUGGGGCUGGGGGCGACUGGGUCGUUCCUGCAGUUAGGCUCGAGGACUGGGAGCGGUCCCGGGGCGGUAGCUGAGCGAGGUGCAGAGCGGCGCUAGCGGUGUCCUACUCUGGUGCCACCAGCGGCUCCAGGCGGGCGCAGGGGCGCUCGCGGAUCCCGCCUCGCCUUGGCGCCCCCGGUCCUCAAGACGCUCACCCCGGAGCCGAGGCCUGGCACCCCUGUCACCCAUUGUCAGCUGUUCAGGGAGCCAGCCAAGCCCCGGGACUUGAGGACGAAAGUUUUAACUGACGGUGCAGGUCCUCCUGAACAAUAGUCAUUUGGCAUGUUAAGAGCUUUUCGUUUUAUUUUCCCAACAGAAGGGAUGACGAGAUCCGGAGACGCUGUUUGACCGUGUUGGUGACCUCUUUUUGUACCUGUGUGCCAAUUUCAGUUUCUGAGCGGUCAGUUUAAAAAAAUUAAACGGUUGCGCAACUUGAAUGUAGUCAGUGUCACUGAAUUGUACAUGAAGUUGUUAAAUUGGUGUAUGUUCUGCUGUCUGUGUUUUCAACAACAAAAAUAUAGAAUUAUUUAAAAGUUAAGUUUUAAUUAAUGCAUUAAAGAAAAAGGAAAGUUAUUUGACGUCUGGAUAUAAGGGGCUGAAAAACACUUUUUAGAUUUUCUGCUUCAGGUGCCUCAUUUUGCACAACAUUUGGUGUCCUUUGAACGCUGUGUGUUAAUUGCGGAGUAAAAAACUCAAGGCCCUUACAUAGUUUGCUCUUGAUAGCUAUUUUACCUGCUGUAAAUAAAUGUUUAGCUUUGUAGUGCAUUUGAGGAGCCCUGGUGGUACAGUGGUUAAAAACUUGGCUGCUAACCAAAAGGUUGGCAGUUUGAAUUCACCAGCCACUCCUUAGAAACCCUAUGGGGCAAUUCUACUGUGUAGUAGGCAAAUGGCAUCCGGUUUUUAGUGCAUUUGAAUUUUUAAAUGCCAUAAUUCAGUUUUUCAUAUAUCAGAUUUUUCCUUCCUGUGAUAGAAAAAUCUGACUGCCUUUGGUUCAGUUCUCUCAUUCCACUCUUGAAGACUGUAUCUUUUAAAAGUAUUUUAAAAGCAAACUCAUGGUUUGUUUAAUGUAACAUUUGAAGUAGGGUUUGUGUGAAAGUAAAAGCCAUCUAUUGGAUGCAAAAGUAUAAAGUGUUGAAAGAGAAAUAUAAAUUAACUAUACCCAGUGGUCAGUGUUGCCUGUGUAUGUGUUUAUAAAGUUAGACCUGCCAUAUUGACAUUGACCUUCUGGCUUCUAGAGAAGCAAGCAGAAGAUAGACAAAGUUGCAGAAAACCAAGACAGGCUUAAGAAGAUUUCAUAAAAUCAAAUACCUUCCUGCCAGGAUGGAGGGCACAAAGGUGGUUUUCAUGACAGUUCUGGUAAUUACUUUUGUGAAGAGCUGGAGAUGUAAUCUGCUCAUGUCUUUUCUCUGUAUUAUUGUACUUACAUCCCUAGCAUGUGUUUACUCCAUUUUUUUGGUAUUUGAUGUCUAUUUUCUCAUGGUAACAUUAUGCAAGGUGGAGUGUAAAUAGUACUAAACAUGUUCUUACCAUGUGAUUAAUGUAAUUAAUGAAUAAGGUUAUUUCCCCCACUAAAAAAAAUGAAAAAAUCAAGUUUGAAGGCUUUUUGAUAAUAUUGCCAUGUGAUUAACUAAAUCUUAUAGUUUGCCGAACAUCAACCUUACCACUAUUCAAAAGUCUGCUAUUUAAGAACUUACAAGAAAAUAGGAGGGAAACAUAAUUAUUCAAGAAGCUACAAUAUUGAUAUCUUUUCAUGAAUUCUUAAAACCAUUCUAAAAAAAUACUAUAAGAUUAAUAAAUAUAUUUUAAAAAUGUACAUUAAAUUUAGGAGUGUUUUGGUAUACCCUUUGCCUUGGUGUUUGGAUUUAUUUUACCAAGUUCAAGACUUACUAUAUAAUUAAGAACUAUUAAAAAAAAAAGAAGUGACAGAACAACUCAUAGAUGCUAAUGCCAUCUAUUUUUAUACUUAUCUGAUCUCACUUUUUUAUAUAUAUGUGUAUAUAUGUAUACAUAUAUGUUUAUAUAUAUGUUAUGUAUGUAUGUGUUAUUAAUUUUUAUUAAUAAAGUGUCAUUGCUAAUAAAUAUAACGAGUGAGACUAUACUAAAUACUAACUUUUGAUGUGAAACGCCAAUGUUAACAUUUCUAAAGAGAAUUAUACUGCAAUUAUAAUUAAUCUCCUAGUUAAAGCAUGAACUUUUUAAACCUGAGAAAGUAGGUAAAUGUUCUCAAGAUGCUAAUGCUGAAGGUGACUUUAAAUGACCAGUUAAUGUUGACAUUAGAAUCCACGGGGACACAGGAGUGGGGAUGUUAGUUGCAGAAUAUGGGGUUUUUUUUUGCUAAGUGAUGUUUUAUUUUCUUUGACAUUUGAUAAUUCCAAGGUGUCAUCCUUUUCCUUUGUCCUCUUCUUCCUUCCUACUAUGGAAACUUAAGAGACCCAUGAGGUAAUCUUCAGAAAAUAACAGGGGAAAAUGUCUGAAAAGAAAAAGGCAGUCCAGGACUGCGUAUGAAAUCAGCUGAGAAAUGGACUUCUCUCCGUGAUGCAAUGAAUGUUUUUCAUGCACUAAAGAUGUUCAGUUGUCCUAGAAAUUUCCUUAGUACUGUUCCUUUUUUUCCAUGGGAGUUGGCUUCCAUAAAGAUUUACAGCCUUGGGGGCAAUUCUACUCUGUCAUAUAGUUGCUAUGAGUUGGAAUCAACUCAGUGGCAAUGGGUUUGGGUUCCUUUUUUGUUUGCUUGUUUUUAUCAUUCAUUUAUUUAUUUAAAAUAAUGUUUUAUUGUGUUUUCAGUGAUGAUUUACACAGCAGUUUAGGUUCCCGUUCAACAAUUUCUACAGAAGUUGUUCAGUGAGUGCAGUGCGAUGGAUCACUUUUAUAUGGCCUUUCUAGCCACGCUCUUAUAACUCCCACCCAAGUGAUUGGGUGGGACUAUGUAAAUAAAGUAAUCAUGGCCCACCAAGGAGAUUGGUCAGCUUUGCCAUUCUGCUAGGCUUAUAAUGAGCCCUCCUAGAAGUGGAAAGAGAGGAUCUCACCACCACCAAGAAGGAAGAGCCAGGAGUGGAGUGCAUCCUUUGGACCUGGGAUCCCUGCACUGAAAAGCUCUUGGAACCAGGAGAUUGAGAGAGGGAGACUGUAACACUGAAGAUGGUGAAAAGUGGUAGCAGAGAAAUGGCAGCAGGAGACACCUGCAGGAGAUGGUGCUGUGGACUUCCCAGCCGAUGGAGUGAGAAAGCUGAGUACCUUCAGGCAAGAGGCUUGCUGGCAGAGUAGGGUGCAUCCAGGCACUUGGUGGAGCUAGGUUUGCUGACCCAUGGAACUGCAGCUGAGCAUCUUCAGGAAGAGGCUUACUGGCGGACUGAGGUGCCUCUGGGCACUUAUCGGGAGCUAAAAGAACUUUGUAACAUUUGCCCAAGGAGGGCAGAGGUCAGGCAAAGUGGCUGAGUGCCUGAGAGAGAUGUGCCUCUGGGCACUGCUGAGAAGAGGCUGUCUUGUUGGAAGAACUGUAUCCUGAGUGUUUCUGAACCUGAACUGUAACCUGUUACUUCCCUAAUAAACCCCAUAAUCAUGAGGAUUGCCUGUGAGUUCUGUGUGGCCAUUGCAGCGAAUUAUCAAACUCAGCAGAGAAGUAAAGGGUGUCAUGGGAGGGAUGGUAGGUGUCAGAAUCGGUGAAGAUGGUGAAGAAAGGAGGCAUGCCUGACCUCCGCCUCAUAGGAAUCAGCCUUUGGGCUGUUGAUCUUGAUUCUUCUUCCCUCUUACGAAGUUAGAGGAGGUCAGACGCCACCCCAAUGCCAUGUUUAUAGUGAAAUUGGUUACAUGCUUCACAAUGAUUGAACGUUCUUACAUUUCUAUUCUGGUUGUUUGUGUUCACUAAUCUUGCUUCCCUGCUCCCUUACAUUCUCAUCUUUGUUUUGAAGUAAUUGCUGACCAUUUGGUCUCAUAUAGGUGAUUUUUUUAAAGGAUCACGGUUCUUACUGGUGAUAUUAUUUUUGAGCCAGUAUGUAAAUUAGCUACAAGGUGACUUCAGAGCUUAGUUUUGGGUCAAAGUUUAAAGAGUAUCUCAGAGCAAUAGUCUCAGGGAGUCCUCCAGUCUCAACCAGUCUAGUAAGUCUGGGGUUUUUGUUUUGUUAGGAAUUCGAGGUUCUUUUUCAUGUAUUUCUCCCAUUCUAUCAGGGUCCAUCUAUUACAGCUCUAAUUAGAAUGGUAGGUAGUGGUAGCAGGGAACCUUCUAGUUCUUCUGGUCUCAAGGUAGAUAAGGCUGUGGUUCAUGUAGACUAUCUGACCUGUAGACUAGUUUCUUCUUUGAGACAUUGAUUUCCUUCGUUCUCUUUUGCUACGGAUGAGUAAAGACCACUAGUUGUAUCUUAGAUGGCCACUUGCAAGCUUUUAAGACACCAGACACUUAAAAGCUUGUAAACAGCCAUCUAAGAUUCUCCACUGGUCUCACCCUGUCUGGAGCAAGGGAGAAUGAAGAAAACCAAGGACUUGAGGGAAAGAUUAGUCCAAAGGACUAAUGGACCAUAAAUACCACAGCCUCCACCUGACUGAGUUCAGCAUAACUAGUUGGUGCCUGGCUACCACCACCGACUGCUCUGACAGGGAUCACAAUACAGAGUCCUGGACAGAGCUGGGGGAAAAUGUAGAACAAAAUUCUAGCUCACAAAAAAGAAAAGGCCAGACUUACUGGUCUGACAGAGAUUGGAGAAACCCCGAGAGUAUUGCCCACAGACACCCUUUUAGCUCAGUAAUGAAGUCACUCCUGAGGUUCAUCCUUCAGCCAAAGAUUAGGGAGGCCAAUAAAACAGAACGAGACUAAAUGGGCACGCCAGCCCAGGGGCAAGGACUAGAAGUGUUGUAGGGUAAAAACAUCACAUCGUGAAGUUUAGUAAAGCAAAAAGAAAGUUUUAUUUGGCAUAUAUUCAAAAGGCAAAAGUGGGAAGCAGACAAGCAUGCUCCCAGAGCCAUGUCUGCCUAAAUCCACAGAAUAUUACAGAAUAGACAAGAAUGGGAAAACAGACAAGCAUGCUGCCACAGCCAUGUCUGCCUGAGUCCAGGGAACGAUACAGAGCCAUUGGUAUAUAUUAACACUACAAAACGGGCAAAACCAUUGAAAGCUUCAUCUUUUCACAGAUUGGCUAGAAACCGAGAUCCUACAUUUUGAAUUGUCUUUCUUAACAAUCAUUGGUACAGGUUUCAGUAAUGACAGUCAGGAGGGUCUUCAUUGGUUCCAGCAAAUUUUCCAUUCACUAAAUAAAUGCUAAUAGAAAAAGAGUGCAAAGUCUUUUGUGUUCUGGCUUGGAUGAAAGGUUCCCUAAAAGACAUUUUUCUUCCCUAAAAGAUAAUUUCUAAGAUUGUCCCAUCUAUUGUCUUUAUCUCAGGGUCCAGUUGAUGUGUCCUUGUGAGUCCUUGUAAGCCCAGCUCCACCUUGUGCCUGGAGGUACCCUACUCUUCCUGCAAGCCUCCUGCCAAAAGAGGCUGGAAUGUCCCAAGUCCGUGGGUCAGGAUAGAGGCCUCUCCUGAUUCAAGUAGCCGCAGGGGCUGGUGAACCCAAGAUUGGCAGGCCGGAGAGCAGGGCUGUUGCUCACAGGCUGUGAAGAUCGAUGAAUCCCAAGAUUAGCAGUCAAGACCACAGGUAAGCUGCUAGCUCAAGUCCCAAGAAUAGGAGAUCAGUGGGAUUAGCUCACCUUGCCCUGUAUGCAGUGCAGCUGGUAACAUCAAAGGACAUUUACUUGGAUCAGUAAAUACUCUCAGGAUAAAUGUGGCUAAGGAGCUCAGGAGUUGCACUUAUCUCUCUGGGUGUCACUUUCACUUAGAUGUUGACCUGGUACCUCCUUAUUCUCUUGACAACUCUUCAGUUCCUUUGAGGAGAUGUAAAAGACUCUAGCAUUUUAGUUGUUUUUAUCCAGAAGAUUAGACUAAACAAUGUAGCCCACCAUUACCAGAAAUAGAAGUAUGCAAGGUUUAUGUAUCAUAGGAGGCAAAGGUAGGAAUGGGAAGUUAGAAAGACAUUUUUUAGAUUUUUGAAUUAAUCACAAAAUGUCUUCCAUUUAUAGAUAUUUGCUGGAGUCCUUGAGUGGUAUAAACAGUUAAUGUGCUCCACUGCUAACCAAAAGGUUGGAGAUUUGAGUCCACCCAGAGAUGCCUCAGAAGAAAGGCGUAGUGAUUUACUUCCAAAAAAAUCAGCCACUGAAAACCCUAUGGAGCACAGUUCUACUCUGACACCGAUGAGGUCACCACGAGUCAGAGUCAACUCGGUGGCAACUGGGGGUGGUGAAUUGAAUGGCUAGUUCAUAGAAAACUGGGUGCUGGAGGGGUACAAAGUUUUAACCAGCUCAAAUGUUCCCAUUAAGCAGCCUUUCAGUCUAGUAAUUCUGAAACUGUAGUGUCACUUUAAUUAAAUUACUUUUUAGAAUGAACUCACUUACAUGGACGAUUAUGGUCGCUAUAAGUUGGAAUUGACUCAGUGGCAACGAGUUUGGUUUUUUGGGUUAAACUCAUUAAAAUCUCAUUGUGCUAUGGGGUCUAUCCUUGGGAUAAAGAGGUCUAUGGCACAAGAAUGUAUAAUUAUAUUUAUUUAAACAGGUUAUUAUUAUUUUAAGGCUGCUACGAACCAAGUUUCUUUCAAGUUUUAGUAUACCAUUAUUUGUAAAGAAAGUAAUAACGUAUCACAUGUUUCUAAAGAUAGGCUUAACCUGCUGUUUUCUUCUAUGUUCAGCAAGUUUAUGAAGUCCUCUCAACUCAACCAAUAAGCAACAUCAUGAUAAAUGGAGAAAAUAUUGCAGUUGUCAAGGACUUCAUUUUUCCUGGAUCCACAAUCAACACCCACAGAGGAGAGGUCAAGAAAUCAAAUGAUGCGUUGCAUUGGGCAAAUCUGCCACAAGAGAUCGCUCUAACAUGUUAAAAAGCAAAGAUGUCACCUUGAAAACUAAGGCGUGCCUGACCCAAGCCAUGAUGUUUUCAAUUGCCUCAUAUGCAUGUGAAAGCUGGACAAUAAAUAAGGAAGACCAGAGAAGAAUUGACACCUUCGAAUUAUGGUUUUGGCAAAUAAUAUUGAAUAUACCAUGUACUGCCAAAAGAACAAACAAAUCUGCCUUAGAAGAAAUACAGCCAGAAUGCUCCUCAGAAGCAAGGAUGGUAAGACUACAUCUCGCACACCUUGGACAAGUUAUCAGGAGGGAUCAGUCCCUGGAGAAGGACAUCAUGCUUGGUAAAGUAGAGGGUCAGUGAAAAACAGACCCUCAACGAGAUGGAUUGACACGGUGGCCAAAACGAUGGGCUCAAGCCUGACAAUUGUGAAGAUGGUUCAGGACUGGGCAGUGUUUCAUUCUGUAGUACAUGGGGUGACUGAGUUGGAGCUGACUCAACAGCUCACAACAACAACAACAACAUUGUCUUUGGAAAGUGCCUUGGUGGCACAGUGGUUAAAGCUUUCAGCCGCUAACCAAAAAGUCAUCAGCUCGAACCCACCAGCUGCUCUGCAGGAGAAAGAUGUGGCAGUCUGCUACUGUAAAUAUUUACAGCCUUGCAAACGCUGUGGGGCAGAUCUACUUUGUCUUAUUGGGUCACUACAAGUUGGAAAUGACUCGACAGCAACAGGAGAUGCCAACACAGUCUCAGAUGUCCACCUGAUACAAGUAGCUCACUCUUCAUCAGCAUCUCUCUUCUACCCAUUGUCCAGUCCCUUCCAUGUCUGAUGAGUUGUCUUCAGGAAUGGUUCCUGUCCUGGGCCAACAGAAGGUUUGGGGACCAUGGCUGCCAGGAUUCCUCUAGUCUCAGUCAGACCAUUAAGUCUGGUCUUUUUAUGAGAAUUUGGGGUGUGCAUCCCACUGAUCUCCUGCUCCCUCAGGGGUUCUCUGUUGUGCUCCCUGUCAGGGCAGUCAUCGGUUGUGGCCGGGCACCAUCUAGUUCUUCUGGUCUCAGGAUGAGGGCUUAACAGAACCCGGUUGGAAGGAAAAACCACUUAAGAGCCUGCAAUGGCAUUUUUAACUUUUCUAUGGAAAGAAAUGCGAAGACAUUUGACUGUGUGGAUCAUAACAAAUUAUGGAUAACAUUGAGAAGAAUGGGAAACCCAGAACACUUAAUUGUGCUCAUGAGGAACCUUUACAUAGAUCAAGAGGCAAUUGUUUGGACAGAACAAGGGGAUACUGAUUGGUUUAAAGUCAGGAAAGGUGUGCGGCAGGGUUGUAUUCUUUCACUAUACCUAUUUAAUCUAUAUGCUGAACAAAUAAUACGAGAAGCUGGACUGUAUGAAGAAGAACGGGGCAUCAGGAUUGGAGGAAGACUCAUUAACAACCUGCAUUAUGCAGAUGACACAACCUUGCUUGCUGAAAGUGAAGAGGACUUGAAGCACUUACUAAUGAAGAUCAAAGACCACAGCCUUCAGUAUGGAUUGCACCUCAACAUAAAAAAAAAAAAAAAUCCUCAUAACUGGACCAAUGAGCAAUGUCAUGAUAAAUGGAGAUAAGAUUGAGGUUGUCAAGGAUUUCAUUUUACUUGGAUCCAUAAUCAACAGCCAUGAAAGCAGCAGCCAAGAAAUCAAAUAACACAUUGCACUGGGUAAAUCUGCUGCAAAGGACCUCUUUAAAGUGUUGAAGAGCAAAGAUGUCACCUUGAAGACUAAGGUGCAUCUGACCCAAGUCAUGGUAUUUUCAAUCGCAUCAUAUGCACGUGAAGUCUGGACAAUGAAUAAGGAAGACCGAAGAAGAAUUGACGCCUUUGAAUUGUGGUAUUGGCGAAGAAUAUUGAAUAUACUAUGGACUGCCCAAAGAACAAAUAAAUCUGUCUUAGAAUAAGUACAACCAGAGUGUUCCUUAGAAGCAAGGAUGGCGAGACUGCGUCUUCCAUACUUUGGACGUGUUGUCAGGAGGGAUCAGUCCCUGGAGAGAGACAUCAUGCUUGGCAAAGUACAGGGUCAGCAGAAAAGAGGAAGACCCUCAAUGAAGUGGAUUGACACAGUAGCUGCAACAAUAAGCUCAACCAUAACAACUAUUUUAAGGAUGGUGCAGGACCAGGCAGUGUUUCAUUCUGUUGUACAUAGGGUUGCUAUGAGUCAGAACUGACUUGACGGCACCUAACAACAACAACAUGGAAAGAAAUAGACAUAGAGUCAAUGAUACUAUUAUUUUUUACUACUGCAUUUUGAUUUUGUAUGAAAAGCUACCGUGUGGUCACCAAAAUCCAUCAAAGAAUUAAAAAAGAAUUACAAUUCAUCAAGUGUAGAUUACACACAAUUUUGUUUAUGAUGAAGGCAUCCAAUAAAAGGGAAAUCUGUUUAUGUAUUUUAAUGGUUUACCAUUAAAAGGAUCAGUUUAAAAGAAGAAAAUCAACGCCAUCACAGAUGGCUUAAUUUUAGUCUUUGAACAUGGCUCUUUUUGUGAUAAGGAGAGUCGUGGAACAACAACAGCUCAUUCUUUGGGGUGUAACAGUCCUACCGAAAGAGCACUCUUAAAAGGAGCAAUAUGUACUAAUAAAGAACACGAACACAGAAUUAUUAUUUUGACAUCCAUUCUUGGCUCUAAAUUGAUGCCUUGAGAGAACUUUGAUGAUUUGUGAAUAUUCCUUCCAUCCUAAGGGGUUAAGAAAUAGUACGUCUAAGGAUAGUUCUCUCUGUGGCCAGGAAAACUUAGGUUGUUGUGAUGGUUAAGAUUGAGUGUCAGCUUGGCUAGGCCAUGAUUCUCAGUGUUUUGGCAGAUGUAUAAUGUUGUGAUCACUUCCCUGUUGAAAUUUGAUACAUGAUCACCCCCAUGAUGGAAUCUGCUGAGUGAUACAGGCAAGGACGGGGCCUGUGGUGGCUCAUCGCCCCUUCAGCCUUCAUCUCUCUGCCCUUGUCCACCUACUUUCCUCCUGCUUGCCUUGCCAGACUUUUGCUUGUCUCAGAUCCUGCAGCUUGCUCCCAUUGGUCUAGCCUCAGGUUCUUGGGACUUGGGCUGGUGGCUUGUCAUCAGUCCCAUGGCCCAAUCUUGAGAUUCGUAGAUCUUCAUGGCCUGCAGCGGCACUGAUCUCUGGCCUGCCGAUCUUGGGUUUACCAGCCCCCGUGGCUACAUGCAUCAGGAGAAUCCUCUUUUAUGCCUCAUGUACUUGGGACAUACAGCCUCUAGGGAACAUGUGAGCCAUUUCCUUGCCAUAAGUCUCUCUCUCUCUAUAUAUAUACACAUGUUUUGCCUCUCUGGAGAACACAGCCUAAAACAUUUGGUACCGGGAGUGGCUCUAGAGAAACAGAAUUGUAAGGAAGAAUUUUCUAAAUUGGUUCUCAGGUCUGAUUAGUCUUAAAGAUGUUGAUGACUCUGCUUCCAGUAGUAAAGAGGGCACUGCUAAUCCAUGGCAUGAGGUGGCAAUUCAAAUAUGCAAAAUAUCACUACCAAUAGAUCAGAUAUUGGUGAAAGGCGAGGCUCUGGGUGAUUGCAUGGAUGACACCUUUCUACAAUUUUGUAGUAAUGAAAACUAUAGGGAGACGGGUUGGUUGGCCCUACUUUUGCUAGACGAACUGGUGAAAGAAAGAGAUGAGCUCAGGGCUUCAGAGUCAAAGCUCAAGGGCUGCAUAAAUGACCUCAAAGUUUCCACUUGUGCCUUGAAAAAAAGCCCUAUUUCUUGUAGUAGCAGAGCUGAUAUUGCCGAAAACCAAACCCAGAGUCUCAUUGUAAGAGUGGCUGAAUUACAACAGGAACUCAAUUGCCAAUCUUGAGAGGUGUCUGAAGUUAAAGCGAGGGCAUUGUUUGGGAAGAAUUGGGAUCCUGAAACCUAGGAUAGGGAUAAUAUGGAAGCUGGAGACACUGAGCCUCUAAAUUCCUCUAAAUUCCAUUGGAUCACUCCUGCCAACAGAACUAUUAGCCCCUCCACUCCCAUCUAGUGAGAUUAACCCAGCUCCAUCUAAAGUGCCUUUGUCUGAGUUAUUGCCUGGAACAUUGUCUGAGGCAGAUGCUUUACAAGACAAUGCUGAAUGUUCACAAGACAUUCUCCCACCAAUUUUGGCUUCUAGACCUAUAACUAGACUUAAGUCCCAGUAAGUCCCAAAAAGUCAAGUACAAAGUGUAACCUAGGAGGAGGUACGCUACACUCUGAAACAACUGCUUGACUUUUCUAAUAUGCACAAAGAGAAACCUGGGGAAUAUGUGUGGGAAUGGCUAUUACGGGUGUGGGAUAAUGAUGCAAGGAACAAAAAGAUAGCUCAAUCUGAGUUUAUUGAUAUGGGCUCACUAAGCACAGAUUCUCCAUUCAAUGGUUCAGCUCAAGAAGUUAGGAAAGGAUUUAAUAGCUUAUUGGGUUGGGUUGCUGAAGCAUGGAUUGAGUGGUGGCCUAUGCUAAAUCAAGUUGAAGUACCAGACCUGCCUUGGUAUACUGUAGAAGAAAGUAUCCAAAAAAAAAAAAUCCAAAGGCUUAGGGAAAUUGGCAUGCUAGAGUGUAUUUAUCAGGUUAGACCCACAGACCCACACAUGGAAUAACUAGAGGACACAGUUUUUACCACAAUGGUGAGGAACAAAUUUGUGAAGGGAGCCCCAGCAUCUUUGAAGGCUGCGGUGAUUGCUAUUUUAUGUAAGUCAGAUUUGACAGUGGGAACUGCCCUAACUCAAUUAAGACACCUAACUACAAUGGGCUGAUUGGAGCCUGUGAUGGUAGGGGCCAAGUGGUAGUACUCAAUCGACAAAGACAAGGUGGUAUGGUUACCAUAAUGGACAGCAGAGUCAAAGCAGUAAUCAGAAUAGCCUGACUCAUAUGGACAUAUGGCGAUGGCUACUUAGUCAUGGUGUCCCUAGGAGUGAAGUAGAUAGGAAAUGUACUAAAUAUUUACAUGAUCUGUACAAGCACAUGAAUUCUAGGUCAUGUGAACAACCAGUCUAAUUCAAAUCGCCAGAAUAGAGAGACGCAGCCCUUCAGUCAAUUCCCAGACUUGAGCGAGUUUACAGAUCCACAACCCCUGAUCGAAGGGGAGGCCUGGUCCCCUUGAGGAAGCACUCCAAUACACUGCCAAAAAAUUAUACUGUUAUUCUUUCUCCCAGCCUUCCGCAAAGGGAUUUACAGCCUUUUACUAGAGUGACUGCUCACUGGGGAAAAGGAAGUAACCAGACUUUUUGAGGAUUACUGGUUACUGGCUCUGAACUGACGCUAAUUCCAGGAGACACAAAAGGUCACUGUGGCCCACCAGUCAGAGUGGAGACGUAUGUAGGUCAAGUUGUUAAUGGAGCCAUGGCUCAUGUCAGUCUCACAGUAGGUCCAGUAGGUGCCCGAACCCAUCCUGUAGUGAUUUCUCCAGUUCCAGAAUGCAUAAUUGCAAUGGAUAUACUCAGCAACUGGCAAAACCCCCACAUUGGAUCCCUGACAAAUGGAGUAAGGGCUAUUAUGGUAGGAAAAGCCAAGUGGAAGCCAUUAGAACUGCUCAUACCUAGGAAAAUAGUAAAUCAAAAGCAAUACUGUGUUCCUGGAGGGAUUGCAGAGCUUACUGCCACCAUAAAGGACUUGAAGGAUGCAGGGGUGGUGAUUUCCACCACAUACCCUUUCAACUCUCGUAUUGGCUUGUGCAAAAAACAGAUGGAUCUUGGAGAAUAAUAGUGGAUUAUUGAAAACUUAACCAGGUGGUAACUCCAAUUGCAGCUGCUAUUUCAGAUGUAGCCUCACUACUUGAGCAAAUUAAUACAUUCCCUGGUACCUUGUAUGCAGCUAUUGAUCUGACUAAUGCCUUUUUCUCCAUACUUGUUUUGAAGGAUCAUCAGAAGCAGUCUACCUUUAGCUGGCAAGGCCAGCAAUACACCUUCACUUGCCUACCUCAGUGCUACAUCAACUCGCCCGCCCUUUGUCAUAAUUUAGUCUGAAGGGACCUUGAUCCCUUUCCCUUCCACAAGAUGUCUCACUGGUCCAUUAUAUUGAUGACAUUAUGCUGAUUGGACCUAGUAAGGAAGAAGUGUCAAUGACUCUGGACUUAUUGGUAAAGCAUUUGUGUGUUAAAUGCUAGAGGGUGGGAAAUUAAUCCCACAAAAAUUCAGGCACCUUCCACCUCAGUGAAAUUUCUAGGAGCCUGGUGGUGUGGGGAAUGUCAAGGUGUUUCUUCUAAACUGAAGGAAAAGUUAUUGCAUCUGGCUCCUCCCACAACUAAAAAGAAGGCACAAUGCCUAGUGGGCCUCUUUGGAUUUUGGAGGCAGCAUAUUCAUUUGGGUGUGCCACUCCAGCCUAUUUAUCCAGUGGCUUGAAAAGCUGCUAGUUUUGAGUGGGGCCCAGAACAAGAGAAGGCUCUCCAACAGGUUCAGGCUACUGUGCAAGCUGCUUUGCCACUUGGGUCAUAUGACCCAGCUAACCCAAUGGUGCUUGAAGUGUCCAUGGCAGAUGGAUGCUGUCUGGAGUCUUUGGCAAAGCCCUAUUGGUAAAUCACAGUGCAGACCCUUAGAAUUUUGGAGCGAAGCCCUGCCAUCCUCCGCAAAUAACUACUCUUCUUUUGAGAAACAGCUUUUGGCUUGUUACUGGGCUUUAGUAGAGACUGAAUGCUUAACUAUGGGACACCAAGUCACAAUGUGACCUGAGCUGCCUAUCAUGAACUUGGUGUUGUCUGAUCCACAGAGUCAUGAAGUUGGACAUGCACAGCAGCACUCCAUCAUUAAGUGGAAGUGGUAUAUUCGAGAUUGAGCCCAAGCAGGACCUGAAGGCACAAGUAAGUUGCAUGAAGAAGUGGCCCAAAUGCCCAUGGUCUCCACUCCUGUCAUAUUACCUACCAUCUCCCAGUCUGCACCUAUGGCCUCAUGAGGGAGUUCCUUCUGAUCGGUUGACUGGAGAAGAGAAAACUUGUGCCUGGUUUACAGAUGGUUCUGAAUGAUAUGCAGGCACCACUCAAAAGUGGACAGUGGCAGCACUAUAGCCUCCCUCUGGAACUUCCCUGAAGGACAGUGGAGGGAAAUCCUCUCAAUGGGCAGAACUUUGAUCAGUGCACUUUGCUUGAAAGGAGGAAUGGGCAGAUGUGUGAUUGUAUACUGAUUUGUGGGCUGUGGCCAAUUGUUUGUCUGGAUGGUCAGGGACUUGGAAGAAACAUGACUGGAAAAUUGGAGACGAGGAUUUAUGGGGAAGAGGUAUGUGGAUAGACUUCUAUGAGUGGGCCAAAGAAGUGAAGAUAUUUGUGUCUCAUGUGAAUGCCCAUCAAAGAGUGACUUCAGCAGAGGAUGAUUUUAACAAUCAAGCGGAUAGGAUGACACAUUCUGUGGAAACCAGUCAUCCUCUUUCCCCAGCUACUCCCGUCAUGGCUCAAUGGGCUUAUGAACAAAGUGGCCAUGGUGGCAGGGAUGGAAGUUAUGCAUGGGCCCAGCAACAUGGACUUCCACUCACCAAGGCCACCUUGGCUACAGCCACUGUUGAGUGCCCAGUCUGCCAGCAGCAGAGACCAACACUGAGUCCCUGAUAUGGCACCAUCCCUUGAGGUGAUCAGCCAGCAACCUGGUGGCAAGUUGGUUACAUUGGACCACUUCCAUCAUGGAAAGGACAGCGUUUUGUUCUUACUGGAAUAGACACUCUGGAUAUGGAUUUACCUUCUCUGCAUGCAGUGCUUCUGCCAAAACUACCAUCUGUGGACUUACAGAAUGCCUUAUCCAUGGUCAUGGUAUCCCACACAGCAUUGCCUUGGAUCAAGAGACUCACUUCACAGUAAAUGAAGUGUGGCAGUGGGCCCAUGCUCAUUGAAUUCACUGGUCUUACCAUGUUCCCUGUCUUCCUGAAGCAGCUGGUUUGAUAGAAUGAUGGAAUGGCCUUCUGAAGACACAAUUAUGGCACCAGGUAGGUGGCAAUACCUUGCUGGACUGGGGCAAUGUUCUCUAGAAGGCUGUAUAUGCUCUCAACCAGCAUCCAGCAUAUGGUGCUGUAUUUCUUAUAGCCAGGAUUCAUGGGCCUAGGAACCAAGGGGUGGAAAUGGGAGUGGCACCACUCACAUUACCACUAGUGACCCACUUGCACAAUUUCUGCUUCCUGUCCUUGAGACAUUAUGCUCUGCAGGUCUAGAGGUCUUAAUUCCAAAGGGAGAAAUGCUCCCCACCCCGGACACACAUCACUGAUUCCACUGAAUGGGAAGCUAAGAACGCCACCUGUCCACUUUGGGCUCCUUAUGCCUCUGGAUCAACUGGCAAAGAAGGGAGUUACUGUACUGGGUGGUGUGAUUGAUCCUUAUUACCAAGAGGAAAUCGGAUUAAUAGUACAUAACGGAGGUAAAAAAAGAGUAUGUCUGGAAUGCAGGAGAUCCCUUAGGGCGUCUCCUAGUACUCUCAAGCCCUGUGAUUGAAGUCAAUGGAAAACUACUAUAGCAACCUAAUUCUGACACGACUACUAAUGGCUCAGACCCUUCUGAAUGAAGGUUUGGGUUACCCCAUUAGGCAAUGAACCGUGACCAGCUGAGGUGCUUGCUGAGGGCAAAGGGAAUACAGAAUGGGUGGUGGAAGAAGGUAGUUCUAACUACCAGUUACAGCCAUGUGGCCAGUUGCAGACACAAGGACUGUAAUUGUUAUGAGCAUUUCUGUUUUGUACAUGUGCAUCAAAUGUUUUUGUUUUCUUCACUUAUAAAAUAUAAGAUGUAAAUGGGGCUAGCACAUUUUCAGUUGUACGCAUGUUAGUUGUAUCAUGUUAGGCACAAGUAUGACUUUGUAAUUGUCUUUAUUCAGAGAUUAUGUAUGGUUUGGGGAGAUGUGUAUAGGUGCCAAGUUGACAAAGGGUGGACUGUGAUGGUUAAGAUUGCAUGUCAACUUGGCUGGGUCAUGAUUCUCAGUGUGUUGACAGUUGUAUAAUGUUGUAAUCACUUCCCUGUUGAAUUUUGAUACAUGAUCACCCACAUGAUGGAAUCUGCUGAGUGGUACUGGUGAGGGCGAGGCCUGUGGCAGCUCACCAUCCCCUCAACCUUCAUCUGUUUGCCCUCUGCCUACUUCCGUCCUACUCACCUUGCCAGGGCUUUUGCUUGUUCUGGAUCCUGCAGCUUGCUCCUGUUCAUCUGGUGUCUGGUUCUUGGGACUUGGGCUGGCAGCUUGCUGGUGGUCUUGCCUGCCCAUCUUGAGAUUUGUUGAUCUUCACUGCCUGCAGUGGCAGUGCUCUCUGGUUUGCUGAUCUUGGGUUUGCCAGCCUCUGUGGCUACGUGGUUCGGUAGAAUCCUGUUUUUUGCCUCACUGACUUGGGAUGUACAACAUCUAGGGGCCACAUGAGCCAUUUCCUUGAUAUAAAUCUCUCUUUAUAUAUAUAUCUAUAUAUACAUAAAAAAGAAAAAAUAUAUAUACAUAUAUGUAUUUAUAUAUAUAUGUUUUGCUUCUCUGGAGAACCCAGCCCAAGACAGUUGUACAUCUAGACUCAGGGAUGGAUUACCCAAUAAGCAAGUUACCCAUGGGCUUAACUGUACUUACUACUAAUCUGUAGUGCACAACCUCACAUGGGUUUUACUACAUCAAAGGUGUGGUGAAAAAUAGGUGAAAUUGUGCACUACAGAUUUGUAAAUAAACACAAUUAAGCUUGUGUGUACCUUGCUUACUGUAAACUGGUGCAUACCGUGCUUACUGGUUAAUCUGACCCUGCUUCUAGUACAAAUUCAGAGGUAUCUUGCUUUGUGUCAUA